UGAUGGGCACUUAAACAACUCCUUGG
rnacentral:misc_RNA from 1 species